AAACACGGACCAAGGAGUCUAACAUGCGUGCAAGUCUACGGGGCUUUGCAAACCCCAUUGGGCGAAAUGAAGGUGAAGGCAGAUCACCUGUCGAGGCAGGAUCCUGGGUGAGAUAUCCCGGGCGCACUGCCGGCCCGUCCAACGGUCGCCUUGUUCGAUCGGACGGAGCUUGAGCACGCACGUUGGGACCCGAAAGAUGGUGAACUAUGCUUGGGCAGGAUGAGGCCAGAGGAAACUCUGGUGGAAGUCCGUAACGAUUCUGACGUGCAAAUCGAUCGUCGGACCUGAGUAUAGGGGCGAAAGACUAAUCGAACCAUCUAGUAGCUGG
rnacentral:rRNA from 1 species